UCCCUCUUAGCUCAGUGGUAGAGCGCUUUAUCCGCAGAAGGUGUGUCCACUAUGAAGAGGCCAGUCGUUCAAGUUGGCCAGAGGGAA